AGGGCCAUAUCACGUUGAAACACCGGUUCCCGUAUCAUCACCGAUAUUAAACAUCGCCGAGCCUGCUUAGUACUUAGAUGGGUGACCGCUUGGGAAUACCAGUUGCUGU